AAAGAGAAAAAAAAAAAUCUUACAGUUGCACUGACUGGAAAACGACGUCGUUUUGGCUUCCCCGGUAUCAUUCUCUGCUCCAGUAUUCAAAACGGCAUCGUUUGCUCCGAUCAAACCCUCUUACUGGCUCUCUCCUAUUCUAGACACGAUGUCGCUUUGGGGUCGGAAUGCCGUCAAAACCCUAAAUAGCGUUCCAAUCGCUCCUCUAUUUCUGAAAUUUGUUCCCUAAUCACUCAUAUGAGAGCAGCUCUGAGAAUCAUCGUUUCGUUUAUCUCUUUGGUCUUUCUGUUUCCUUCUUCUUCUUCUUCUUCUUCGCUGCAAUUUCGAUUCUCAGAAACUAGUUCACUUUCAGGGCUUCAGUGAGGCAUAUACGAAACAGGGAGCUAGGCACUGAGAGAGCAGGUUAGGAGACACCGAAACGCGGCGUUUCGUGCGGAUUGGAGAAACGGCGAAACAUUAAAGCUUCAAUCUGGGUUCCUUGCUGUUUCUCUUCAGUCUGCAUUUCUUGCCUUGUGCUUCACAGUCCCCACAUAUCGAUUUUGACCACUUUAUAGAGAAUUUGCCAUUCAGAUCAGAUAUACUAUACGGGAGUGUGAGAUUGUACAUCCUACGGCAAGAGGAUAGGUUAACUUCAUCAAGAUAAGCAGAGGACAUAAUAGCAUAAACUGGGUAACCAGGAAUAGAGAGGCAAGGGAUGGACUGAACAAAAUUUCUUAACAUAUUUAAGUUUCUUUUCUUCUACUCUCUCCUUUUCAAUUAAUAGUGUUUCUCAUCCCAUUUUUAUUGAGUUGGAUAUCAAGGAUAAGGUUUCCCAGAAACAUUCAUGUAUCCAAAUACAUACCUUGAUACGAUAUAAUAUGAUGCUUUAUGCGAGCGUCAUCAUAUGUCUUUCCUAAGGCUUAAAAAGUUGUCAUUGUUUCCUUA